rnacentral:rRNA from 1 species
AAUUUCAGGUGUAGCGGUGAAAUGCGUAGAGAUCUGAAGGAAUACCGGUGGCGAAGGCGGCCCCCUGGACAGAUACUGACACUCAGAUGCGAAAGCGUGGGGAGCAAACAGGAUUAGAUACCCUGGUAGUCCACGCCGUAAACGAUGUCUACUUGGAGGUUGUGGCCUUGAGCCGUGGCUUUCGGAGCUAACGCGUUAAGUAGACCGCCUGGGGAGUACGGUCGCAAGAUUAAAACUCAAAUGAAUUGACGGGGGCCCGCACAAGCGGUGGAGCAUGUGGUUUAAUUCGAUGCAACGCGAAGAACCUUACCUACUCUUGACAUCCAGAGAACUUUCCAGAGAUGGAUUGGUGCCUUCGGGAACUCUGAGACAGGUGCUGCAUGGCUGUCGUCAGCUCGUGUUGUGAAAUGUUGGGUUAAGUCCCGCAACGAGCGCAACCCUUAUCCUUGUUUGCCAGCGAGUAAUGUCGGGAACUCCAGGGAGACUGCCGGUGAUAAACCGGAGGAAGGUGGGGACGACGUCAAGUCAUCAUGGCCCUUACGAGUAGGGCUACACACGUGCUACAAUGGCGCAUACAGAGGGCAGCCAACUUGCGAAAGUGAGCGAAUCCCAAAAAGUGCGUCGUAGUCCGGAUUGGAGUCUGCAACUCGACUCCAUGAAGUCGGAAUCGCUAGUAAUCGUGGAUCAGAAUGCCACGGUGAAUACGUUCCCGGGCCUUGUACACACCGCCCGUCACACCAUGGGAGUGGGCUGCAAAAGAAGUAGGUAGUUUAACCUUCGGGGGGACGCUUACCACUUUGUGGUUCAUGACUGGGGUGAAGUCGUAACAAGGUAGCGCUAGGGGAACCUGGCGCUGGAUCACCUCCUUAAACGAUGAU